rnacentral:rRNA from 1 species
GANCAAAUNCUUGCNGNAGGAGUAGGGGAUAAUCUACCCGAAAAUCAGAGUGGAAUGGCAGAUCCGUUCCGAUCUAGAGGGUCGUGACCUUAAUAGAUACAACACCCAAAUCUUACCUUUUCUUAGGAAAAUUAACCACUUUACACAUCGCCCNNNNNNNNNAGACAAAAAACAUCCUCGAUCCCAUAAACAUGGGAAAAAUUAGGUCAAGGCGUAGGACAUAGAAAAGGACUAGUUGCGAUCCCAAAAGUGGGAGACUGGGAUCAGUCUCACCAAUUCCGAAUUUAGAAGUAAGGAAAACAAGGUAGUUCAAAAUACUACCCUGAAGCUCGUUAAACGGGUUGC